rnacentral:rRNA from 1 species
UACGGAGGAUCCAAGCGUUAUCCGGAAUCAUUGGGUUUAAAGGGUCCGUAGGCGGUUUAAUAAGUCAGUGGUGAAAGCCCAUCGCUCAACUGAGGAACUGCCUUUGAAACUGUCUGGCUUGAGGCCGGGAGAGGGUAGCGGAAUUCCCAGUGUAGCGGUGAAAUGCGUAGAUAUUGGGAGGAACACCAGUGGCGAAGGCGGCUACCUGGACCGGUUCUGACGCUGAGGCGCGAAAGCGUGGGUAGCAAACAGG